AUUUUUAUAGUUUAAUAAAAACCUUACAUUUUCAAUGUAAAAAUAAAUAAUAUUUUAAAAAUA
rnacentral:tRNA from 1 species